CCGUUCUAUUCCCCCCCCGGGCGCGCUUUGGAACGAAAGGGACAGCCCAACAGGCCAGUGAGGAAGGGGGCAAGGGAGGGCGCUACCAAUUAGAGGGUGGGGGGGAGGAAGAUGAAGAGGCAGGCGCGCGCCCUGCCCUACUACGGAUCCUCUUUUAUCAUGCAGCAAAGAAAUUGGUUGGUUUUGCGGAGGGGGGGGGGAGGUGGAGGUGGAGGUGGAGGUCCCGAAGUGGGGGAAAGUUCGGUCCUCGGCGCGCGAGGGCGGGGUCCGGACCGGAAUGGACUCCAGCCACGCUUCGCCCUCCCCUUUCCGAGCAUCUUUCAGAGGAGGAGCCGGGGAAGACCUCGUGCUUUUUGGGAAGGGGAAUGUUGGCUGGCGCUUUCCCUCUGAUAAGUUAGCUUGUUUUCAGAUCCAAGAUGACGUCGUCGUUUAAAGGAGGUAAAGAUCUCUUUAAUGCAUCUGACUGCAGACGAGGAGAAGCCUGACUUCUUGAACGUCUGCACUAGCGGUGAGAAACCUGUGGCCCUCUGUGGUGGUUUUUUGGGGGAUGCCAUAUGCCAUCAGCGCCAACCAGCAAGCCCAGUGGUCAGGGAUGAUGGGUACAGCAACAUUUGUUGGGCCACAAGUUCCACAUCACCUGUUGCCUGGAGUAAUUAAAUAUUUUAAGGAGUGCAUUGAUCUAUAAGUCAAGAAAAUUAUAGAACAGAAGUAGUUCUGUUGUCAUGUGAGUGUUUCUGUGCAGGCCUGGCCUGCUCUGUAUGCUGAGCCCUUUACUAUUAUCUGUGGUGGCAAAUCCCAUUGCUUCAGAAUUUGGGUUACCACAUGCCUUUGCAACGAAGGCUUUCGUAAACAGAGGUGGAUAAACGAUUAUAAGAUGACGUAGCUGGUAAUUACAAAGGGGUAAUAGCUAAUGUUUAAGAGGACAUUAUUAUAAUUGACGAAAAGCAUUUCUUGUGUUUUGGUUUAUUUCCACCCUGCCUUUGAUGUGAGCUGGCCUUAGGGAUUCCUUGAGGAUUGACAGGCAGGAUGGGAAUUAAUAAAAUAUGUACAACAAAAUUGUUUAAACAAUUGAAACCCUUCGAUUAAAAAUACGUUUAAAGCUUU